rnacentral:lncRNA from 1 species
AAGUCUAAGUUGUUAACGGAUACGAUAUGGGAAGGUUGAGCUGCUGUUUAUCUGUUCCUAGAGAUGCUAGAAUUCUGGAGAAUUUUAUCUUUGAAAAUUUUUAAAAUGUUGCAUGAUGAGUUCCUGUAUGAUGAGAGUUUAAAUUCCUACCAAAGCCAUAUAUACAUGCUUGUUAGACUUUGAGCCACACAUUAAAUAUUUACUGCUUAUGAGCAUUGAGUGUGGUCAAGCUGUGUAGACCCUUAGGAGCUUGUCAUGUGGUUAAAUCAAGAUUUCACUUGCACGUUCACUCAUAUAUGCUACUUCUACUCCGGAAGUACCAUCCACAUAUAUCCACCCAUUCCAUCUCCAGAAUCACCCAAAAAUAUUCUACUCCUAAUCCGGGAGAGAAUAACCAAAAAUAUUUCUAUUUUCCCCUUGUGAAAUAAAUGCUCAAGUUAUCUUGUUACUACCACUUGCUAUAUUAUCUCAAGAGAUGAAUGCUCUGAAAAAAAAAAGAUACGAGGAAAUAAAAAGGAGCAAGUGCUCGGAACCUCGAAAGAAAAGAAAAAGUGAGACGAGAGGUAAAAAUGGACAAGUGUCCGACAGUAGAAUUAGGGGUACAAUAUGCCCACCUGAGAGACAAGAAAAAGAAGAGCAUCUCAUUCUCCUCAUAAGGUUUCAAAAGCAAGGAAGGUAUGUAUCCCCUCAAAGAGCAAAAGUAGAAUUAGACUUCCACCUCCAUUGUUUUCACCGUUGUUAUCACCAUCAUCACCAUACACCAUUCAUUCGCCACACAUGCACAUCUUGAUUAAACUUAUUGACUUGUUACUUUGGAUCCAUGGUUUGACUAUGCAAUAAAUGUCUUGUAAGUAUGUAUACUUUAUCUCCCACCUAUGAACUCCAGAUAUUAAAGCCUUAUUAGAGUAGGGUGAGAGAGAAGGCAAUGUCACUAUGCCUCAUACCACAAAUACCACAUAUCUUGAGAGAAGGCAUAUACCAUCACUGCCUUGGUAAGGAUCCAAAAAUACCACAAAAGAGAGAUAUGAAAGAAUCAUACAAGGAAUCUCUGAGUUUUAUUUGAAAAUCUACAAAAACUCUAGAGCUAUAGCUGAUCAAGAAUAAGAGACAUGGCACUUGGCUAGACUGUUCUAUCUUUUAACCACUCAAGACAGAAGUGACGGUUACAAGUCCCAUGGUGAAGGUAAAGUAAGUAAGUUUUAAGUCUUGACAGUUUACUCUUACUCAGAGAUGAGAUCUUAUUUAAAAGCAUGUGUACCGUCAAAUUUUUAAAGAUAUUACAACUACUUAUGAUCCAUAGCUGAGUCUAUCCUUGCUCAGGGACGAGCAAGAGGUAAGCUUGGGGGAGUUUGUUGACGGUCCUUAAGUAUCAAAUUUAAUUAUCAAAUAAAUAAAGAAAAGGAUCCAAAUGAAAUCAAGAUCUAGACUUAGGGUUUUAUCUGACAGAAUUCCACGAGUUUUGGUGUUUGUCUAUUUCUGCAAGGGGUUAUCAGGAAAUACGGAAGAAAGGCCCACAUGUCAGGAUUACGUAAAGAUAUUAACGUGCUGCGCAAUUAUAUUACAUCUAGAAGACUCCAGAAGCCACGAGACCGAAGCGGAGGCGAAACGGGGCCUGACCCUGGGCGGCCGCCCAGUUGGUCAGGGCGCCCGCCCACCCCCUGAGUCCAAUCAUGACUCUGCUUUGCGGGAGAUCUCCACCAACCUAAAGGAUGAAUCUAAACCAUACAAUCUAUGUCGGUUUGAUCCAAGGGCCUGUAUUCACUUGAAGGGACUAUAAAACCAGACCCCCUGGCCCUUGGAGGAGGGAGCCUCUCAACCCUAAUUCAUUGUUCCAUCAAGGGAGAAGAAGCCUCUAAUCAAUAUUAGAGCCACCACAUCAAUUAGACAUCUAGAUUAGCAUAGCUACAUAGGAUUAGAACUAGAAGGAGUCAAUUUUCGAUUGGUUUCCGGAUCUGUCAAGAGGAUUCUUGGUAAUUCUCUAAUUGUGUUUCUAAUUGGUUUCUAAUUAUCUUUGUUCUUCAAUAUUAUGAAUAUGACUUUGUUCUACUUCAAUAUAUUGCUUAUGACUUUGCUCUACUUGCUUAUAUUCAAGAUUAUAUUGUUCUUAGUUUAUCAUAGUUAUGUACUUGGCUUAGUUAGAUUCGAUCUAUAUACAUGCUUAGGAUCGUAUAGCGUUUAUCCAUCGGAUCCAUGGGUAAAUGAUAGAUAUUGUGUAGGCAUGGUGCUUAUACCGUAUUUAUCUGCGAUUGUACCCAAUAUGCCAGAUCGUGGGGUGGUUCGUGAUAGUGACAGAUUCAUUGAUUCUUAUAUAGUCCCCCUCUCGUGUAUUGGGCUGGCAGAGCAACAUUAUUACAGGCGUGUGAUUGCUAUGUUUCUCAUAUUCCUUGCUAAUAUCACUAUGCAUGGGCGUAGUCUUGUCUCACCAUGAUUGCUAAGUAUGCUUGCACUAACUAUGAUAAUGCUAGACUAUAUAGUUGAGAAUAACUUAGGGAAUAUUCUUGUAGUUCGUUCUAAUACCAUGCUAAUGACUUUCUAGAGUAUCUAAUUGAGGUGCUUAUCAUAUUUAUUAUGUGGCUAGAUCAGAUUAGUUAUCCUUGUCACUAUUAUUAUUUCAUAUAUCUUUUAUGUGACACUUAUCCCUGUAUGAAGAGUUAGAUAUAAUGUUCUCAAUUAUACAUGCAAUGAUAGAUGCUCAAUCUCAUAUUCUAUUCUGUAAUCAAUAGUGAUGAUUGCUAAUCCCUUCCCAGUGGUAAAAAUAUAAAUAACGAUACCUGGAAUACUUCCCGGUUAAAAUGCUACAUCGGUAUUAAUCUGUGCGCUUGCAGAUCCCAUUCAUUAUUUAUUUAGAAGAGCAAUUGCAUAUUUCAAUACCGCGUCUCUCAUGUCAUGCUGGGGAUGACAACUUGGCUUAAGUGGUGUGAGGGAUAGGUUUGCCAUUUUUGGCACCGUUGCUAGAUUUAUAGAACUUAGUCUACUUUUGGUAAUGAUGUUAAGAAUACCCAACACUUGCUCAUAUAAAACAUCUCUCCAAUCAAUUUGUCUCUGAAUCCUUACCACAUUUGAGAUCUCCAACCCCCUCUUCCUCUUCAUUUAUAAAAACUUUAAAAGGGCGGUUAUCGAUGCAUAUGUCUAUAAUAAAUAUUGCAGAUCUCGUUGAGUUGAUCUUGAUAUAGGUAGGUGUUGGAGGGGAAACCACUUCACCAACAUAACUUGAUGGUUUCCCAAGGACAAGCUUAGUGUCCUAAAACAAGCACUUAUCAGAUCAUAACAUGAACUUCUAAUUAUUUGCAACAUUGCCUUGUGUAUUGAGCAUAUAAAGAUAAUUGUAGAAAUAUUCCUUCGGGUAUUCUUGUCACUAACCUUUCCAGGAUUGGAGCAAGAAGAUCGGAUGAAUGACAAGCACAGGGUAUGUCCAACCAACCAUCACACAACAUUGAAUUAAAUUCAUCCAAACUUGAAUUUUGUAAAAUUCAAGCUUGGGGGAGUACUUUACAUAAAAACAUCUUUUGCCAUGUUGCUACGUUGGUUGUCCUUACCUUUGAAACAUGCUCAAUUUGUUAAAUACUAAUUACACUACUUCAUCUCCACUUAAGUAGAUCUCUAUAAAUGCUCUCAUGCUACCUUUAUUUGCUUUAGUAUAUGUCUAGGUUUGGAAUAGUUUCAUUUAUCUCUUAAUUAAGCAUGGUGCUUAGUUUUGGAAUGAUGAUCUUACUUCCAAGGGAUUUUAAAUUAAGCAUGGUGCUUAGGUUAAAAUGCCCUUCUAAAUCAAAUUAGACAUGGUGUCUAGGUUGAUUUUUAAGCCGAUAGUAUGCUAUAGUAGAUAUGGGAUAUUUUGUUGGACUAACCCCUGCAGGAAAACUUUCCAUAUCAACCUGGGAAGUCCUGAGAUAAACUCGCAUUGGAGAUGAAGAAAGUGACACAUGAAGUUUAACAAUUUGCGCAAAAAAGACGUAGCUCAUAAGAGAUGAUUCAUGGAGGGUGCCACAAACACGAUGCACACCCGCUAAGAAAGGAAAGCUUCCACAAGGUGAUACUGUACCGUCACUCUUCAAGUAAGGUAACACCUUAAGGUACUUGACUAUCGCUUUUAUAAGCGUCUCCUUGGUUCUAGCAUUCACAUAAAUAAAGAGACAAACAUGUAUGAUUUAUAACUCCAGAUUAACCAACUCAAUUAAUUCAACAUGUUUAGUCCUUUAAUCUUUGUUCUUAGUACUACCUUCGUGAUCCCACGCUCCUAAACAUAUAAGCUAAUAUGUUGCACAUUCAAUAUUUGGAAGAUAUAAACAAAAUAUAAAUAUAGAUAGAUUAUCUUUCCAUUAGGUUGAGCCAUCUGAUCUGACGAAUGUUUCAAAUACUACACUCAUGAUCUUAUUAUCCAUCAACUUUGUCUUGCUCACUAUGCUUAAGGUUAGAGAAGAACAAAUACACUUUUGGUUCUGUUGGUGUUUUCCACCAACAGAGCCCAUGCACUUGAUCUCUGCCUUGUCUCUAUGAACAGGUACACUUCAAGCAAAACAUGGAGGAGUUUUACAACUCCCAGACUCCACCAAGUGAAGGACCUGGAUCUAUGAGCACAAACACACUGUGCAGGAUAUUGCCAACACCAUACUUCGAACUGCUAGGCAAAGAAGAACAUGGGUGACACCGUAUCAAGAGGUGCAGACGUCAAGGUCCACACCUAAUCAAUUGAUGCACCUAAAGGAUGAAGACGGUGGAAAGUCUUGUCCAAAAGACUUAAAACAUUGGAUCCUUGUUGGAAGAGGUCAACAUCGUCGACUCAAGUCACCUUUCUUGAUCAAGAAGGACGACCCUGGUGUUCCAAGCAUCGAGUGCGCAAUCAAUGGAUACUCUUUUCAGAAGACACUCUACGACACCGGAUCUGACGACAACAUAAUGGCCGUAGUCACUUAUCAGCUCCUGCAUGGAACCAUGCCCCUACAACCAAUAUAUUCAGCUCCAGAUAAUUUUCAGGUCAUUGACAUGGGAGAAGACGAAUAUAAUCCACCCACCAUCCUUGGAAGACCGUUCCUCAACACUAUCAAAGCAAUCAUCUACAUUGGAACCGAAGAAGUCCACAUGUACUUCCUCUCUGAGAAGGUACGCAACUAUUUUACUGACCAUAACUAUAUAGUUGAAGAAUCUAAGCAGGUCAGGACAAGAAGACGACGCAACCGCAACCAAGAGGAGGCAAAUCAUCAAGAACGGAUGGGUAGACUACGAAGGAAAAGUGAUAAGGACUGAAGUCAUACAGCUUGAACAGAACUGUCCUAAGGAGACCGUAGCACUGAGGUAGGUGUGGAGGGAGAAGAUAGUUAUACACGAAGAGAGGCGCCGCCGGAAUCACCGACUACGCCACCUAGCGAAUCCCAGGACGACUGAGAAAACAGAGAGUCCCGUUCGGAGGACAUAAAAAUAUCGAACGCCUUGCCAAGAGGUAAACUUGGUAGGUACCCUUUCCUUUCAAUUAUUCAAUUAUAAUUUGCUUAGUUAAUCAGGUUCAUACUAUCUUGAAAAGAAAAUAAAAAUGUUAAAAAGUAGUAAGCCCCAUGUGAGUAUGCUCAUGGCAUAAAACCCAUAAGUACAUUGGCAUAAAAAUAAAAUAAAUAAGUUUUCAUCUUACAAUAAAAAUAUAAAUAUAUAUAUAUAUAUAAUAAUAAGUGUAUGAUCCUGCUAAAUAAAUAACAUUUAUUAAGGAAGCUCAACAUGACGAAAGCUAGAUAUUUAUGCUAACACUUAAUUAGUUCCACAAGCUUUGUUGUCUAUUUGAGCUCCACAGAAUUUAAGAAUCAAGAAGACUAGCAGACGGAGGACAUUCUAAUCGCUGUCAGAAUGCUGCUGACUUUCAAAUACACCUCUGCCACCUGCUAGCUACAUCAAGAGAAAUUACGUCAAAAUUCAGCUUGGGGGAGAGCACCCCCAUUUAUCUCGCUAAGUAUUUCUACCUAUCUUUAUACUUAUAUUAUGUUAGAAUAUUAAAAUACAUAAACUAUGAAAAACCAAAUAAAGAUUUUGUGCUUAUAUAUAUCUUUUGCUUAGUAUGUUUAAUAAAUAAAUAAAGUGGCUAUGCUAAUCUGUAUCUUAAUAAUAAAACUCUAGCAUGGAUAUGAUGAAUAGUUGCUCUGCCUAAUUUGCAAUUUUGAAGUUCUCUCUCAAGUUUAGACAUAACUGUUAUAAUUUAAAUCUUGCUCUAGACCUAAACUUGUGGGAUGAAAACUUGAUCUGAAGUCUAAGUUGUUAAUGGAUACGAUAUGGGGAGGUUGAGCUGCUGUUUAUCUAUUCCUAGAGAUGCUAGAAUUCUGGAGAAUUUUAUCUUUGAAAAAUCUUUAAAAUAUUGCAUGAUGAGUUCCUGUAUGAUGAGAUUUUAAAUUCCUACCACAGUCAUAUAUACAUGCUUGCUAGACUUUGAGCCACACAUUUACUAUUUACUGCUUAUGAGCAUUGAGUGUGGUCAAGCUGUGUAGACCCUUAGGAGCUUGUCAUGUGGUUAAAUCAAGAUUCACUUGCACGUUCACUCAUAUAUGCUACUUCUACUCCGGAAGUACCAUCCACAUAUAUCCAUCCAUUUCCAUCUCCAGAAUCACCCAAAAAUAUUCUACUCCUAAUCCGGGAGAGAAUAGUCAAAAACAUUUUUCUAUCCCUGUUAUUCCCUGUGAAAUAAAUAUUCCAAAUAUUUUGGUUACUACCACUUGCUAUAUUAUCUCAAGAGAUGAGUGCUCUGGAAAAAAAGAAAGAAAAGAGAAGAAAAAAAUAUAUAUAUAAACGAGGAAAUAAAAAGGGGCAAGUGCCCGGAACCUCGAAAGAAAGAAAAAGUGAGACGAGAGGUAAAAAUGGAUAAAUGUCCGACAGUAGAAUUAGGGGUACAAGAUACCCACCUGAGAGGAAAGAAAAAGAAGAGCAUCUCAUUCUCCUCAUAAAGUUUCAAAAAGCAAGGAAGGUAUGUAUUCCCUCAAAAGAGCAAAAGUAGAAUUAGACUUUCACCAUUGUUAUUACCAUCAUCACCAUACACCAUUCAUUCGCCACACAUGCACAUCUUGAUUUGGCUUAUUGAUUUGUUUCUUUGGAUCCAUGGUUUGACUAUAUAAUAAAUGUCUUGUAAGUAUGUAUACUUUAUCUCCCACCUAUGAGCUCCAGAUAUUAAAGCCUUAUUAGAGUAGGGUGAGAGAGAAGGCAACGUCACUAUGCCUUAUACCACAAAUACCACAUAUCUUGAGAGAAGGCAUAUACCAUCAAUGCCUUGGUAAGGAUCCAGAAAUACCACAAAAGAGAGAUCUAGAGAGUCAUACAAGGAAUCUCUGAGUUUUAUUUGAAAAUCUGCAAAAACCCCAGAGCUAUAGCUGAUCAAGAAUAAGAGACAUGGCACUUGGCUAGACUGUUCUAUCUUUUAACUACUCAAGACAGAAGUGACGGUUACAAGUCCCAUGGUGAGAGGUAAAGUAAGUAAGUUUUAGUUCAUGACAGUUUACUCUAACUCAGAGAUGAGAUCUU